rnacentral:lncRNA from 1 species
CCCUCUUGCCGCAAUGCAGGUGGGAACCAUAAUUGGGUAUCUGAGCUCAGAGUGACGUGGCCCUUACGAGACCUGGAGCUGACGCGUGGGUUAGCGUCUCCUCCUAGUUGCAGUCUGGUUGUCCUUUGUGGCUGUGCGCCGGCACGCUAUUGCCUUGAAGGCAGGCGAGCCUGUAGCACCGGGAAGGAGGAAGUCGUAGAAGCUGACCCUGAUCGGUUGCAGGUCUCUGGGUCCGUUGGUGCAGCAGAUUUCAAAGCAAAGAGAAAACGACUACUUCUGAGCCUGCAGGAAGAGUA